rnacentral:tRNA from 1 species
CCGCCACUGGCUCAUCUGGACAGAGUAGUAGACCUCUAAGCUGUAGGUACGGGGGUCAACUCGCCGAUGGCGAACCA